GAAGUUGUGUCUGACAGGUAAACAAAAUUAAGACACGUUGCAACCUUUUACUUGCAUGCUGGUUACCAUAUAAGUCAUUUUGAUCAUGAGUACCUGAGACAGUGUGGAUAAAAUCUGAAUUUCUAUUGUACAAAGGGAGAUAAUCCAAUAAAAAUGCUGAUUUUUUAAAACCUUAAAAUUGCAUGUACAUAUUAAUUUAAACUAAC
rnacentral:lncRNA from 1 species